GGGUAUGUAAGUAGAUGGUUCUACAUUUUGAUUGCAGAUCAUAAAGUUGGAGUUCGAUUCUCUCGUGCCCC
rnacentral:tRNA from 1 species